rnacentral:rRNA from 1 species
CGAUACGGGCAGGCUAGAGUGUGGUAGGGGAGAUCGGAAUUCCUGGUGUAGCGGUGAAAUGCGCAGAUAUCAGGAGGAACACCGGUGGCGAAGGCGGAUCUCUGGGCCAUUACUGACGCUGAGGAGCGAAAGCGUGGGGAGCGAACAGGAUUAGAUACCCUGGUAGUCCACGCCGUAAACGUUGGGAACUAGGUGUUGGCGACAUUCCACGUCGUCGGUGCCGCAGCUAACGCAUUAAGUUCCCCGCCUGGGGAGUACGGCCGCAAGGCUAAAACUCAAAGGAAUUGACGGGGGCCCGCACAAGCAGCGGAGCAUGUGGCUUAAUUCGACGCAACGCGAAGAACCUUACCAAGGCUUGACAUAUACCGGAAACGGCCAGAGAUGGUCGCCCCCUUGUGGUCGGUAUACAGGUGGUGCAUGGCUGUCGUCAGCUCGGUCGGAGAUGUUGGGUUAAGUCCCGCAACGAGCGCAAC